GAAGGUGGUGUUCAUGAUUGGGUGUAGAUGGGAGUGGUUUGGGUAAGAGAAGAAGCAAUUGGAUUUAAUUUAACAGAGCGAGAGGGAGGAAGAGACUUACUUGGACAAUCAGCCAGAGGGACUAGAGGUCUUGACCCAGAAGUUUCUCCCAAUUUAGUCUUUUUGACCUUCUUUGACUUUUCAGAAGGCUCUCGCAUCCUUUUCAUGAAGUUUGAUGGAUGCUCAGGCAGCC
rnacentral:lncRNA from 1 species